rnacentral:rRNA from 1 species
AGCGAACGCUGGCGGCAGGCCUAACACAUGCAAGUCGAACGGACCCUUCGGGGUUAGUGGCGGACGGGUGAGUAACACGUGGGAACGUGCCUUUAGGUUCGGAAUAGCUCCUGGAAACGGGUGGUAAUGCCGAAUGUGCCCUUCGGGGGAAAGAUUUAUCGCCUUUAGAGCGGCCCGCGUCUGAUUAGCUAGUUGGUGAGGUAAAAGCUCACCAAGGCGACGAUCAGUAGCUGGUCUGAGAGGAUGAUCAGCCACAUUGGGACUGAGACACGGCCCAAACUCCUACGGGAGGCAGCAGUGGGGAAUCUUGCGCAAUGGGCGAAAGCCUGACGCAGCCAUGCCGCGUGAAUGAUGAAGGUCUUAGGAUUGUAAAAUUCUUUCACCGGGGACGAUAAUGACGGUACCCGGAGAAGAAGCCCCGGCUAACUUCGUGCCAGCCGCCGCCGUAAGAC